rnacentral:misc_RNA from 1 species
GAACUGCGAUAAGUAAUGUGAAUUGCAGAAUUCAGUGAAUCAUCGAGUCUUUGAACGCACAUUGCGCCCCCUGGCAUUCCGGGGGGCAUGCCUGUCCGAGCGUCAUUGCUGCCCUUCAAGCCCGGCUUGUGUGUUGGGUCGUCGUCCCCUCCGGGGGACGGGCCCGAAAGGCAGCGGCGGCACCGCGUCCGGUCCUCGAGCGUAUGGGGCUUUGUCACCCGCUCGAUAAGGACCGGCCGGGCGCCAGCCGGCGUCUCCAACCUUUUUUUCUCAGGUUGACCUCGGAUCAGGUAGGGAUACCCGCUGAACUUAA